rnacentral:tRNA from 1 species
CAAGGUGUAGCUUAAAUUAAAGCGUCUGGCUUACACCUAGAAGAUUUCAAAUUACACUGAACACCUUGA